UACGUAGGGUGCAAGCGUUAAUCGGAAUUACUGGGCGUAAAGCGUGCGCAGGCGGUUUCGUAAGUCUGUCGUGAAAUCCCCGGGCUCAACCUGGGAAUUGCGAUGGAGACUGCAAGGCUAGAAUCUGGCAGAGGGGGGUAGAAUUCCACGUGUAGCAGUGAAAUGCGUAGAGAUGUGGAGGAACACCGAUGGCGAAGGCAGCCCCCUGGGUCAAGAUUGACGCUCAUGCACGAAAGCGUGGGGAGCAAACGAGG
rnacentral:rRNA from 1 species